AUGUCGAGGAACCCGGCCUGCAGCGUCUACGUAGGCAACUUGGAUGAGAAGGUGCCUGAAAGAGUCUUGUAUGAGAUUCUUAUUCAGGCAGGUCAUGUAGUAGACCUAUACAUACCAUGUGACAAAGAAACUGAGCGCCCUAAAGGUUUUGCUUUUGCUGAGUAUGAGACAGAGGCAAUUGCUCAGUAUGCUGUUAAACUUUUUUCAGGACUUGUUAGGCUUAAUGGUAAAACACUUAAAUUUGCGCUUUCUGGACAAGACAAGCCCUCAUCAAAUGGCAAUAAUCCAGUAAUGCCUAAACUCAACCCUGUACCAUUACCAAAGCAGCCUCAGUUUGUGCAUUCUAGUGAUACGCUUGUGUCGCAUAAACCAGCAUAUCCGGUGGUAAAUGGUGGGAUUCCACAUAAUGGCUUUUCACAAGGCUAUCAUCCUUACAAUGUUCACCCUCAAGCAUUACCACCUCGACCGGUGCAUGAGCACCGAGAAUUUGUACAUGGUACGUAUGGUUACAACAGUCAUGCAUAUGGUUCUGUUCUGAAUGCUAGCUACGGAGGUUAUGUUGUGAAUGCUGUUGGUCAUGGAGCUAUGAGGCAACCAAUCAUUUACCCAUCCUACUAG
rnacentral:rRNA from 1 species